CACAUCAUCUAAGUGCUGGGCCCAGGUAUAUGUCACAAUGCCCCUUGUGACUUUGGCCAGGCAUGAGAGUCAGAACACAUAGGUGCUUGGUUCAACUAUAUGUCACUAUCCCAUUUGUGGCCUUGACCUAGGUGAGAGAGUCGCAUGACCUAUGGUCUGGGCCCAGGUAUAUGUCACAAUGUUCUCUGUGGAUUGGGCCCAUGCAGGACAGCCACAUCACCUUAAUUCCUGAGCCCAGGUCCAGGCAAAGUGUAACAUCACCUAGGUGCUGGACCCAGGUACAUGCCACAAUCUACCCUCUGGGUGGGACCCAGGAGGAAGAGCAACACAACUCAGAAGAUGGGUUCAGACAAUCAAAGUAGCACAAGCAAAGCCAGAAAUGCUCCACCCUGAUUGCAAACACACCAGUGCCCUUCUAGUGAGAAUAUAUGUGUGAGGAUAUUAACUUGAAAUUCUUGGC
rnacentral:lncRNA from 10 species